GCCACUUUCAUUUGUCAUGCUUCUCCACGGUUGCUUUGCCCUUGCGAAUUGUCAUGUUCAUGUUCAUCGAAAUCUGGACCUCUUCUUCGUCGGGGAGAUGAAUUUGAUAUUGAAACAUGCGCGACAAAUCUGACACUGAUUCUUCUGAUGCAAGAUUCGCCUUGCUAUCAAUAGCACUUGAUUCUCCUUCUCCAACCCACUCCCAAAAACCACAUUUCUGACUACAUCAUUUGCAUAGUUUUCCUUUGUUAUCGGUCUCUCUCUCCACCUCGAAGCACUUCUGGAAUCCACUCUUGCAAACGGGGCAACGACUCUUACUUCGGCAUUCAUCAAAGAAGUGUCCCUUCGAUCUGCAACUAUGACAAAUUCCGAAAUUCUUUCCUCCCA
rnacentral:lncRNA from 1 species